GAUGUCCCAAUGGAGAAACAGAAAGCAUGGAGUCAUCCUGUCACUGAAAAAUGCUCUUGCAAAGGUUCCUUAUAAAUAUAAAGAUGAAACCACUAUUGGAAGAAUAAUGUGACUGAACAUAGUGCUGAUUGUCACUCUCACUGAACUCCUCGCUGUGACUGUGCAGCAGCAGAGAUUGCAGGCAGUGAUCUCAGCUGAAUGAAGACCAAUGCCAAAAUUCAGGCUACACAACUCAGUCAGUGUUUCUUCAGAAAACAGGAAUAGACAGGAAACAAAGAGCUAUCUUUUAUUGGAUUUGUAUAGAGUUCUCCAGGGUCCAUGGGGUCUUCACCUCCGUGGGGUCACCUGUAGCCUGUUGCAAUGCAGCGAGGCGGCAAGGGCAAUGUCUGAUGAUAUGAGCUCAUGGUAA
rnacentral:lncRNA from 1 species